UACGUAGGGGGCAAGCGUUGUCCGGAAUUAUUGGGCGUAAAGCGUGCGCAGGCGGUUCGUUGUGUCGGUGGUGAAAUCCCCGGGCUUAACCUGGGAAUGGCCAUGGAAACUGGCGAACUGGAGUGUGGCAGAGGGGGGUGGAAUUCCGCGUGUAGCAGUGAAAUGCGUAGAGAUGCGGAGGAACACCGAUGGCGAAGGCAGCCCCCUGGGCUAGCACUGACGCUCAGGCACGAAAGCGUGGGGAGCAAACAGG
rnacentral:rRNA from 1 species